AGAGCGAACGCUGGCGGCAGGCCUAACACAUGCAAGUCGAGCGCCCGUAGCAAUACGGGAGCGGCAGACGGGAUAGUAACACGUGGGAACGCGCCCUUCGGUUCGGAAUAACUCAGGGAAACUUGAGCUAAUACCGGAUACGCCCUUACGGGGAAAGAUUUAUUGCCGAAGGAACGGCCCGCGUCCGAUUAGCUAGUUGGUGAGGUAAUGGCUCACCAAGGCGACGAUCGGUAGCUGGUCUGAGAGGAUGACCAGCAUCACUGGGACUGAGACACGGCCCAGACUCCUACGGGAGGCAGCAGUGGGGAAUAUUGGACAAUGGGCGCAAGCCUGAUCCAGCCAUGCCGCGUGGAUGAUGAAGGCCUUAGGGUUGUAAAGUCCUUUUAACGGGGAAGAUAAGUGACGGUACCCGUAGAAUAACGCCCCGGCUAACGUUCGUGCCAGCAGCCGC
rnacentral:rRNA from 1 species